rnacentral:rRNA from 1 species
UGGCGAACGGGUGAGUAACGCGUGAGGAACCUGCCUCAAAGAGGGGGACAACAGUUGGAAACGACUGCCAAUACCGCAUAAGCCCACGGGUCGGCAUCGACCUGAGGGAAAAGGAGCAAUCCGCUUUGAGAUGGCCUCGCGUCCGAUUAGCUAGUUGGUGAGGUAACGGCCCACCAAGGCGACGAUCGGUAGCCGGACUGAGAGGUUGAACGGCCACAUUGGGACUGAGACACGGCCCAG